UCAAUAGCGUAUAUUAAAGUUGUUGCAGUUAAAAAGCUCGUAGUUGAAUUUCGGGAUUAAUAGGUUGGUCAUGCCCUCGGUAUGUACUGAUUUCAUUGGUUCUCACCUUCUAAGGAAUCAUAAUGUCAUUCGUUUGAUGUUGUGGGGAAUUAGGACUGUUACCUUGAAAAAAUUAGAGUGUUUAAAGCAGGCUAACGCUUGAAUACAUUAGCAUGGAAUAAUGAAAUAGGACAUCCGAUUCUAUUUUGUUGGUUUCUAGGAUCGAUGUAAUGAUUAAUAGGGAUAGUUGGGGGCAUUAGUAUUCAAUUGUCAGAGGUGAAAUUCUUGGAUUUAUUGAAGACUAACUACUGCGAAAGCAUUUGUCAAGGAUGUUUUCAUUAAUCAAGAACAAAAGUUAGGAGAUCGAAGACGAUCAGAUACUGUCGUAGUCUUAACCAUAAACUAUGCCGACUAGGGAUCAGAUGAUGCUUAUUUUUUAAUAACUCAUUCGGCACCUUACG
rnacentral:rRNA from 1 species